rnacentral:rRNA from 1 species
UACGGAGGGGACUAGCGUUGUUCGGAAUUACUGGGCGUAAAGCGCACGUAGGCGGAUCUGUAAGUCAGGGGUGAAAUCCCGGGGCUCAACCUCGGAACUGCCUUUGAUACUGCAAAUCUCGAGUCCGGAAGAGGUGGGUGGAAUUCCUAGUGUAGAGGUGAAAUUCGUAGAUAUUAGGAAGAACACCAGUGGCGAAGGCGGCUCACUGGUCCGGUACUGACGCUGAGGUGCGAAAGCGUGGGGAGCAAACAGG